AGCGAACGCUGGCGGCAGGCCUAACACAUGCAAGUCGAACGAACUCGUCGGAGUUAGGGGCGGACGGGGGGGGAAGACGGGGGAAGGUGCCCUUAGGUUCGGAAUAACUCAGGGAAAGUUGUGCUAAGACCGCAUGUGCCCUUCGGGGGAAAGAUCUAUCGCCGUAAGGGCGGCCCGGGUCUGCUUAGGGGGUUGGGGAGGUACAGGCUCGCCAAGGCGACGUUGAGUAGCUGGUCGGUGAGGAUGACCAGGCACAUUGGGACUGAGACACGGCCCAAACUCCUACGGGAGGCAGCAGUGGGGAGUCUUGCGCAAUGAGCGCAAGUCUGACGCAGCCAUGCCGCGUGAAUGAUGCUGGUCUUAGGAUUGUAAAAUUCUUUCACCGGGGACGAUAAUGACGGUACCCGGAGAAGAAGCCCCGGCUAACUUCGUG
rnacentral:rRNA from 1 species